rnacentral:rRNA from 1 species
AUACGUAGGGGGCGAGCGUUGUCCGGAAUGAUUGGGCGUAAAGGGCGCGUAGGCGGCCCGGUAAGUCUGGAGUGAAAGUCCUGUUUUUAAGAUGGGAAUUGCUUUGGGUACUGUCGGGCUUGAGUGCAGGAGAGGCAAGUGGAAUUCCCAGUGUAGCGGUGAAAUGCGUAGAGAUUGGGAGGAACACCAGUGGCGAAGGCGACUUACUGGACUGUAACUGACGCUGAGGCGCGAAAGUGUGGGGAGCAAACAGGAUUAGAUACCCUGGUAGUCCACACUGUAAACGAUGAAUGCUAGGUGUAGGGGGUAUCGACCCCUUCUGUGCCGCAGUCAACACAAUAAGCAUUCCGCCUGGGGAGUACGGCCGCAAGGUUGAAACUCAAAUGAAUUGACGGGG